ACGCACGCUGGCGGCGUGCCUAAUACAUGCAAGUCGAACGCUUCUUUCCUCCCGAGUGCUUGCACUCAAUUGGAAAGAGGAGUGGCGGACGGGUGAGUAACACGUGGGUAACCUACCCAUCAGAGGGGGAUAACACUUGGAAACAGGUGCUAAUACCGCAUAACAGUUUAUGCCGCAUGGCAUAAGAGUGAAAGGCGCUUUCGGGUGUCGUUGAUGGAUGGACCCGCGGUGCAUUAGCUAGUUGGUGAGGUAACGGCUCACCAAGGCCACGAUGCAUAGCCGACCUGAGAGGGUGAUCGGCCACACUGGGACUGAGACACGGCCCAGACUCCUACGGGAGGCAGCAGUAGGGAAUCUUCGGCAAUGGACGAAAGUCUGACCGAGCAACGCCGCGUGAGUGAAGAAGGUUUUCGGAUCGUAAAACUCUGUUGUUAGAGAAGAACAAGGACGUUAGUAACUGAACGUCCCCUGACGGUAUCUAACCAGAAAGCCACGGCUAACUACGUG
rnacentral:rRNA from 1 species